rnacentral:rRNA from 1 species
CCUACGGGAGGCAGCAGUGGGGAAUAUUGGGCAAUGGACGCAAGUCUGACCCAGCAAUGCCGCGUGAAGGAAGAAGGCUUUCGGGUUGUAAACUUCUUUUAAGGGGGAAGAGCAGAAGACGGUACCCCUUGAAUAAGCCACGGCUAACUACGUGCCAGCAGCCGCGGGAAUACGUAGGUGGCAAGCGUUGUCCGGAUUUACUGGGUGUAAAGGGCGUGCAGCCGGAGAGACAAGUCAGAUGUGAAAUCCCCGGGCUCAACCCGUGAACUGCUUUUGAAACUGUUUCACUUGAGUGUCGGAGAGGUAAUCGGAAUGCCUUGUGUAGCGGUGAAAUGCGUAGAUAUAAGGAAGAACACCAGUGGCGAAGGCGGAUAACUGGACGAUAACUGACGGUGAGGCGCGAAAGCGUGGGGAGCAAACAGGAUUAGAUACCCUAGUAGUC